rnacentral:rRNA from 1 species
GUCCCAUGCGCGUGCUAUAAUGCAGUCGAGCGGACAGAUGGGAGCUUGCUCCCUGAUGUUAGCGGCGGACGGGUGAGUAACACGUGGGUAACCUGCCUGUAAGACUGGGAUAACUCCGGGAAACCGGGGCUAAUACCGGAUGGUUGUUUGAACCGCAUGGUUCAAACAUAAAAGGUGGCUUCGGCUACCACUUACAGAUGGACCCGCGGCGCAUUAGCUAGUUGGUGAGGUAACGGCUCACCAAGGCGACGAUGCGUAGCCGACCUGAGAGGGUGAUCGGCCACACUGGGACUGAGACACGGCCCAGACUCCUACGGGAGGCAGCAGUAGGGAAUCUUCCGCAAUGGACGAAAGUCUGACGGAGCAACGCCGCGUGAGUGAUGAAGGUUUUCGGAUCGUAAAGCUCUGUUGUUAGGGAAGAACAAGUACCGUUCGAAUAGGGCGGUACCUUGACGGUACCUAACCAGAAAGCCACGGCUAACUACGUGCCAGCAGCCGCGGUAAUACGUAGGUGGCAAGCGUUGUCCGGAAUUAUUGGGCGUAAAGGGCUCGCAGGCGGUUUCUUAAGUCUGAUGUGAAAGCCCCCGGCUCAACCGGGGAGGGUCAUUGGAAACUGGGGAACUUGAGUGCAGAAGAGGAGAGUGGAAUUCCACGUGUAGCGGUGAAAUGCGUAGAGAUGUGGAGGAACACCAGUGGCGAAGGCGACUCUCUGGUCUGUAACUGACGCUGAGGAGCGAAAGCGUGGGGAGCGAACAGGAUUAGAUACCCUGGUAGUCCACGCCGUAAACGAUGAGUGCUAA